CAUAAAGGCUCAUCUUGUCCUUGACUUCACUGGUCAAAUCUCCUGGAUUGCCAGCUAAAAUGAGGCUCUGUUCUUGGGUUCUGGGUCUCCUAAUGCUCUGGAUCACUGGGUCCAGAGGCGAUAUUUUAAUGACUCAGACUCCACUCUCCCUGGCUGUCACCCUGGGAGAGACGGUCUCCCUCUCCUGCAGGUCUAGUGAGAGCCUCACAGAUAACAAUGGAAAUAGUGUUCUAUUCUGGUACUUGCAGAAACCUGGCCAGUCUCCAAAACUGCUGAUCUAUGGGGCUUCCUAUCGAGCACCUGGGGUCCCAGACAGAUUCAGUGGCAGUGGGUCAGACACAGAUUUCACACUGCAAAUCAGCAGGGUGGAAGCUGAAGAUAUUGGGGUUUAUUACUGCAUGCAAGCUAUAGAUACUCCUCCCACAGUGAUACAGUCCUUAACAAAAACAUCUCUGUAGGGCUUGGCCCAGCUGUCCUAUUUCAAAGCUUGUCUGGGGAACAGCAUAGCACAUUCUCUGAACUGAAGCAGUAGUCUGAGUUUGGAGGACUUGACAGAAGAUGUCAUACCAGAGACUUUGUCCAAGUGGGAUCUUGGAUUACUUGAAGCUUAGAUGGACUUCCAGAACCAGAAUUUAUAAUGUUACUACAGAAGUCAAUUUAUCACUUAUUACCAAAUGUGAAAGACAAAGCCAAAAACAUCUACCACCAGCAUGCCAUUUCUGUAGUUUGGAGAGAAUUACAGAGUC